rnacentral:rRNA from 1 species
UGAAAUGACUCUCGGCAACGGAUAUCUCGGCUCUCGCAUCGAUGAAGAACGCAGCAAAAUGCGAUACUUGGUGUGAAUUGCAGAAUCCCGUGAAUCAUCGAGUUUUUGAACGCAAGUUGCGCCCGAAGCCUUUUGGCUGAGGGCACGUCUGCCUGGGCGU